AGAGUUUGAUCCUGGCUCAGGAUGAACGCCGGCGGUGUGCCUAAUACAUGCAAGUCGUACGCACUGGCCCAACUGAUUGAUGGUGCUUGCACCUGAUUGACGUUGGAUCACCAGUGAGUGGCGGACGGGUGAGUAACACGUAGGUAACCUGCCCCGGAGCGGGGGAUAACAUUUGGAAACAGAUGCUAAUACCGCAUAACAACAAAAGCCACAUGGCUUUUGUUUGAAAGAUGGCUUUGGCUAUCACUCUGGGAUGGACCUGCGGUGCAUUAGCUAGUUGGUAAGGUAACGGCUUACCAAGGCGAUGAUGCGUAGCCGAGUUGAGAGACUGAUCGGCCACAAUGGAACUGAGACACGGUCCAUACUCCUACGGGAGGCAGCAGUAGGGAAUCUUCCACAAUGGGCGCAAGCCUGAUGGAGCAACACCGCGUGAGUGAAGAAGGGUUUCGGCUCGUAAAGCUCUGUUGUUGGAGAAGAACGUGCGUGAGAGUAACUGUUCACG
rnacentral:rRNA from 1 species